rnacentral:misc_RNA from 1 species
AUCUGUCAUGUAAGAUGCGAGGCAUUCAGAAGCUGCUUGCAACAUUUCAUCUGUUAUAAAACGUGCGCCUGAAAGAAGAGUUCCCAAACCAAUACCAGGAAACAGGUACAUAUUGUUUGCUUGAUUUACAUGCCCUACUUUCCCAUUCCCAAGGUCAACAUUUUCAAAUGGGCUUCCACUAGCAAAAACUAUAUUUUCCCCAGCAUAUUUGAAAGCAUCAGCAGCAGUGCAUUCCGCAUUCAUUGUGGGGUUUGACAUAGCAAAAAUAGCAGGUUUAGUUGAAUCAGAUUCUUGCAUGGCCUUGAGCACCUCUUCAUUAAAGAUCCCACCAACUCCAGACAAACCAAGAAGAACAUGAGGCUUUAACUUUUUAACCACUUCAGUAAGACUAGCUCCCUCCCUAAGCCCCUCAAC